UACGAAGGGUGCAAGCGUUGUUCGGAUUUAUUGGGCGUAAAGCGCGCGCAGGCGGGAAUGUGUGUAAGAUGUGAAAUCUCGGAGCUCAACUCCGAACGUGCGUCUUAAACUGCAUUUCUAGAAUACUGGAGGGGGAAGGGGAAUUUCACGUGUAGGGGUAAAAUCCGUAGAGAUGUGAAGGAACACCGGAGGCGAAGGCGCCUUCCUGGCCAGUGAUUGACGCUGAGGCGCGAAAGCGUGGGGAUCAAAC
rnacentral:rRNA from 1 species